CAGCAUCAUCAAGAUUCU
rnacentral:snRNA from 1 species